AGAGUUUGAUCAUGGCUCAGAUUGAACGCUGGCGGCAUGCUUAAUACAUGCAAGUCGAACGGUAACAGGUCCUUCGGGAUGCUGACGAGUGGCGGACGGGUGAGUAAUGCAUAGGAAUCUGCCCAGUAGUAGGGGACAACCUGAGGAAACUCAGGCUAAUACCGUAUAAGUCCUACGGGAGAAAGGGGGCCUCUUCUUGAAAGCUCUCGCUAUUGGAUGAGCCUAUGUCGGAUUAGCUUGUUGGUGGGGUAACGGCCUACCAAGGCGAUGAUCCGUAGCUGGUCUGAGAGGACGAUCAGCCACACUGGGACUGAGACACGGCCCAGACUCCUACGGGAGGCAGCAGUAGGGAAUAUUGGACAAUGGGCGAAAGCCUGAUCCAGCAAUGCCGCGUGUGUGAAGAAGGCCUGCGGGUUGUAAAGCACUUUCAGUUGGGAAGAAAAUCUUUAGGUUAAUAUCCUAAAGUCUUGACGUUACCAACAGAAGAAGCACCGGCUAACUCUGUGCCAGCAGCCGCGGUAAUACAGAGGGUGCGAGCGUUAAUCGGAAUUACUGGGCGUAAAGCGUGCGUAGGCGGUUAAGUCAGUCGGAUGUGAAAGCCCAAGGCUUAACCUUGGAACGGCAUUCGAUACUGCUUAGCUAGAGUACAGUAGAGGGAAGC
rnacentral:rRNA from 1 species